rnacentral:lncRNA from 1 species
UUUCACGAAUGUUUUCCUUCAGCUCUCACAAGGUUUAUUUUUGCUUCAAAGUGUUGAUUUUAGUUUUACUCCAGCCACUGAAAUGUAUUCCAAAUAGUUAAGAUACCAUGUUUCUUUUAUCUCUAUAUCCUUUUAUUUUGGGGGUGUGAUGGCGGAAGGAUGAUGCUGAUUCUUUGAGAGUUUAGAGGUUUGUGUUGGGUGUUGGAGGCGAGGGUGGGGGUCACUCUUAUGUGUUUUAAUAACCUAAAGUUAUGCUUAUUAUGUUGUACUACCUCCAUUUUAGUUUAUAUGGCAGUGCUGAGUUGAAUUACUGAGU